rnacentral:rRNA from 1 species
AACGAACGCUGGCGGCAUGCCUAACACAUGCAAGUCGAACGAGACCUUCGGGUCUAGUGGCGCACGGGUGCGUAACGCGUGGGAACCUGCCCUUAGGUUCGGAAUAACUCCCCGAAAGGGGUGCUAAUACCGGAUAAUGUCUUCGGACCAAAGAUUUAUCGCCUUUGGAUGGGCCCGCGUUGGAUUAGCUAGUUGGUAGGGUAAAAGCCUACCAAGGCGACGAUCCAUAGCUGGUCUGAGAGGAUGAUCAGCCACACUGGGACUGAGACACGGCCCAGACUCCUACGGGAGGAAGCGGGGGGGAAAUUUGGACAAGGGGCGAAAGCCUGAUCCAGAAAUGCCGGGGGAGGGAUGAAGGCCUUAGGGUUUAAAAGCUCUUUUACCCGGGAUGAUAAUGACAGUACCGGGAGAAUAAGCCGCGGCUAACUCCGU